rnacentral:lncRNA from 10 species
UACUUUUGACAAAAGAUUAGUGAAACAGAACAAUGAAAAAGAUUAUGAAGCAUAAACUGAUACAAGUAUAGUUGAUAUAGUUUGGAUAUUUGUCUCCUUCAAAUCUGAUGUUGAAGUGUAACUUCCAGUGUUGAAUGUGGGGCAUGGUAGGAGAUGAUUGAAUAAUGGAGUGGAUCCCUAAUGAGUGGUUUAGCACCAUCCCCUGGGUGAUAAGUGAGAUCUUAUUCAGUUAGUUUACAUGAUAUCUGGUUGUUUAAAAGUGUAUGACACCUCCCCACUUACUCUCUUGCUCUAUCUCGCCAGGUAAUGUGCUGGCUUCUGUCUUUGCCUUCUGCCGUGAAUGAAAGCUUAGUGAGACUCUUACCAGAAGCCCAGAAGACGUUGGUGCCAUGGUGAUACAGCCUGCUGAACUGGUUUCUUGCUUGUUCCAAGGGCCUUACGAAUUCUUAGCAGCCUCCAUCCAGAUUUCAAAAGACGUCCCAGAAGGCCUUGGGAUCCAAACAGAGACAUGUCUUUGAGGAGGAGCCACUACAGGGAGCUGCCACUAGAGCAAUGCAGAAUGUAAAAAUGAGACGGAGCUGCUGCAGAGGGCCCCAACUAGGGCAAUGCCUAGCAGAGACUUGGUAGCAGGACCACCAUUAGGUCUCCAGAACUGUGGAGUCACUGUCAACAUGCAAUGCUCACCUGAAAAAGCUUCAGGACUCUAACCAGCAAGAGCAGCCACAUGGGCUGCAUCCAGCAAAACCACAGGGGUGGGUUUCUCUGAGGCGUUGGGAGUAUAACCUCCACUCCAGUGUAUCCAGGAGUUGGCCCCUGGUAAGAUGGAUUAUUGUCCAGCUUCAAAAUUUAAGUCUAUACUGCUGAGUUUGCUUGCUUUGGGCCUGUUCCUCCCUUAUGGAAUUGAAAUGUCUAUCUUAUGCCUGUACCGCUGUUGCAUGUUGAAAGCAGAUAAUUUGUUUUGAUUUCACAGCUUACACAUGAGCUUUUGAACAUUAGAAUUUGGAGUAGGUGCUGGAGCAAGUUAAGACUUUGUGGCUAUGGGGAUGAAAUGAAUGUAUUUAUACUUGAGAAGGACAUGACUUUAGGGGAGUCAUGGGAGGAAGGCUAUGGUUUGAAUGUUUGUCUUUCUGAAAUUCAAGUUGAAACUGAAACUCCAAUGUGGCAGUGUUGAGAGAUGGGUCCUUUAAGAAGGAGCGGGACUGGUGACUUUAGAAGAAGAAGAAAAGACACCUUGCUCAGUCCCCUCUCCAUAUGAUCCCGUGUGCAACCUCAGGAUUCUGCAGGGAGUCCCCAGCAGCAAGAAGGACCUUAUCAGAUGCAGCUCGUCAACCUUGCACUUCUCAGCCUCUAUAACUAAAGUUACCACUGAGUGCAAAGGACAUGAUGGCAUUGUUGAAGAGCUUAAUAAGAAGACCAUUCCCGGCCAGGCGCGGUGGCUUACACCUGUAAUACCA